CGACCGGGCCAGGUUGAGGCGCCGCGGUAAUACCGAACUUCAACUAAUAGGGGGCGGAAAUUGGGGGUACCCCGGGCCCCCCCCCCUUUCGAGGGUUCGACCCAAGAACGGCGAAAAACUUUUACAAAUGCAGGAAAACUGUGAUAAGGGAACCCCCGAGUGCCCGUACACGCGGGCUGUCCCGGUGUUUAAAACACAUCGGAAGAAAGGGCCGGGCAGACCGGUGCCAGCCGCCGCGGUUAUACCGGCGGCUCGAGUGGUGACCACUUUUAUUGGGCUUAAAGCGUUCGUAGCUUGAUUUUUAAGUCUCUUGGGAAAUCUCACGGCUUAACUGUGAGGCGUCUAAGAGAUACUGGGAAUCUAGGGACCGGGAGAGGUAAGAGGUACUUCGGGGGUAGAAGUGAAAUUCUGUAAUCCUUGAGGGACCACCGAUGGCGAAGGCAUCUUACCAGAACGGCUUCGACAGUGAGGAACGAAAGCUGGGGGAGCGAACGGGAUUAGAUACCCCGGUAGUCCCAGCCGUUAAACUAUGCGCGUUAGGUGUGCCUGUAACUACGAGUUAACCGGGGGUGCCCGAAGUGAAAAAACGUGAAAACGUGCCGCCUGGGAAGUUACCGGUCGCAAAGGCUGGAAACUUUAAAGGGAAUUUGGGCGGGGGAAGCACCACAACGGGUUGGGAGCCUGCGGUUUUAAUUUGGACUUUCUAACGCCGAGAGCAGUCUCCGACCGGUUAUAAAAAAACGAGCGGUAAUUGUAAAAGCCGUUGCCCGAAUUAUUC
rnacentral:rRNA from 1 species